rnacentral:rRNA from 1 species
GGUAGUGUAUUGGACUACCAUUGGUAGUGUAUUGGACAACCGUUGGUAGUGUAUUGGACAACCAUGGCUUUAACGGGUAACGGAGGAUUAGGGUUCGAUUCCGGAGAGGGAGCCUGAGAAACGGCUACCACAUCUAAGGAAGGCAGCAGGCGCGUAAAUUACCCAAUCCUGACUCAGGGAGGUAGUGACAAGAUAUAACAACGCGAAUAAAUUCGUGAUUGUAGUGAGGGUAUUCUAAACCGAACUUCGAGUACAAUUAGAGGGCAAGUCUGGUGCCAGCAGCCGCGGUAAUUCCAGCUCUAAUAGCGUAUAUUAAAGUUGUUGCAGUUAAAAAGCUCGUAGUUGGAUUUCAAGGGACACAGCAAUCCUUUGCUGUUCCCUAUCAGUCUUUGACUGUUACUGUGAGAAAAUUCGAGCGUUUCAAGCAGGCUAUUGCAGGAAUACAUUAGCAUGGAAUAACGAAUGUCUAGAGUCUUGGUUAAUUCUAGAUAACGAUUAAUAGGGACAGUUGGGGGCAUUAGUAUUUAAUUGUCAGAGGUGAAAUUCUUGGAUUAUUUAAAGACUAACGUAUGCGAAAGCAUUUGCCAAGGAUGUUUUCA